rnacentral:rRNA from 1 species
AGUUUGGUCCCUAUCUUCCGUAGCCGUUGGAGAUUUGAGGGUGAGCUGUCCUUAGUACGAGAGGACCGGGAUGGACGCACCUCUGGUGUUCCGGUUGUCACGCCAGUGGCACUGCCGGGUAGCUAUGUGCGGACGGGAUAACCGCUGAAAGCAUCUAAGCGGGAAGCCCCCCCCAAGAUUAGAUCUCCCUGGGAACUCGAUUCCCCUAAAGGGCCCACGAAGACUACGUGGUUGAUAGGCUGGGUGUGUAAGGCCAGUAAUGGCUUCAGCUAACCAGUACUAAUUGCCCGUGAGGCUUGACCAU